GACUGGUGUUCUAAAAAAUAUCACUUCACUACUUUUAUUUGUUAUUCAUUUUUAAAAAUAUUUUUUAUGUUAUAUUUAAUUAAUUAAAUAUUACAUAAAAAUAAAAAAUUUCUAACAUAUAUAUGCUAAUUAAUUUUUUUUAAAAAAAAUGUUUAUAUAGAUAAAUUAAAAAUAUUUCAAUAAAAAUAAUAUAUAAGAGCUCCCAAAUUACGACUCCUUUACAUGGCCACGCUUCCCCGCUCUCACUCCCGCUCCCGCUUCUGCUUCCGCUUCCACUUCGUGCAACUAAGCUAGGAUCAAACUUGGGUUUUUUUAUUUUUUAUUUUUUUGGUGGUUGUUGUUGUUGUAAUUUUCCCUAAUUUUAUUUGUUACUAACUGCAGUAUAUAUACUAUUUUGCUAUAUCAGAUUCCAAAUCUACCUCGAGCCAGUCUACUUUGGCUCUAUGCUACGACGGGAAUUAACAAGGAUUAUUGCUCAAGAGGGCUAAGGGAAGAAGUAACAAGAGGGGAGGUAGCCAAGGGUGCUGUAAGGGUAGAGGAGCUGCCAAGAGGUAUGAUAGAGAGAGAUGUAAAAGAUAUCAUUGAGCAGAAAGUCCAUGGGACUUGGAGCUUAUGGAUUCAAUUAUCCUUGAGCAGGGGUCUUGGAUAUUGAUGUUGGAUUAUGGAUGUUUUUGAUCUCACCAUUGUAUUCUCAAUUGGUCUCGGUGUGUGCUGAACCACAUUAAUAUUUGUGUUUCUCUUGUGUGCGCGUGCAUGUGUAUUUAUGUAUUUAUUUAAAGCAUUCUUCCA